GAUGAACGCUGGCGGCGUGCCUAAUACAUGCAAGUCGAGCGAACGGACGAGAAGCUUGCUUCUCUGAUGUUAGCGGCGGACGGGUGAGUAACACGUGGAUAACCUACCUAUAAGACUGGGAUAACUUCGGGAAACCGUAGCUAAUACCGGAUAAUAUUUUGAACCGCAUGGUUCAAAAGUGAAAGACGGUCUUGCUGUCACUUAUAGAUGGAUCCGCGCUGCAUUAGCUAGUUGGUAAGGUGACGGCUUACCAAGGCAACGAUGCAUAGCCGACCUGAGAGGGUGAUCGGCCACACUGGAACUGAGACACGGUCCAGACUCCUACGGGAGGCAGCAGUAGGGAAUCUUCCGCAAAGGGCGAAAGCCUGACGGAGCAACGCCGCGUGAGUGAUGAAGGUCUUCGGAUCGUAAAACUCUGUUAUUAGGGAAGAACAUAUGUGUAAGUAACUGUGCACAUCUUGACGGUACCUAAUCAGAAAGCCACGGCUAACUACGUG
rnacentral:rRNA from 1 species